UACGAAGGUGGCAAGCGUUGUUCGGAUUCACUGGGCAUAAAGGGCGCGUAGGCGGCCCCGCAAGUGAUCUGUGAAAUCCCCCGGCUCAACCGGGGAAGUGCAGGUCAGACUGCGGAGCUCGAGGCUGGGAGGGGAGACUGGAACUCUCGGUGGAGCGGUGAAAUGCGUAGAUAUCGAGAGGAACACCGAUGGCGAAGGCAAGUCUCUGGUCCAGUUCUGACGCUGAGGCGCGAAAGCGUGGGUAGCAAACAGG
rnacentral:rRNA from 1 species